AUGUCGUCGACGUCAUCUGGCUAUGUCGCCAUCCCGCGUUGCCCGCUGAUAUUUGAUGGGGUAACUAUGCUGAGUUCGUUGGUUUUAUGCGCAUUCACAUGUGUGGCCUUCAUUUCUGGGGUGUUCUUUCCGGCGAGGUACCUUGUCCUCCACGUCCAGUUGCUCCUAUGGCUCCUACCCCACCGCCACCCGCACCGGCUCUUGCCGCAGAUGCUUCUGAUGCUGAUAGGGUUGUUGUCAGGGUUGCUACUGAUGACGCGGCUGCUGCUUAUGACCAACAGAUCUUGGAUUAUUCGAAUGCCCUUUCCAUUUAUCGUGAUGAUUUGGCUGCUUACACUGGGUAGUGUGAUGAUGAUGCUCGUGCAGCGGCUGUCCUCACUUCCAGUGUCCUACCUUAGUUUGCUUCUGAGUUUAUGGGCCUCAGCACUAUCUUUGAGAUGUGGGCUCAUCUUCACCAGCGCUAUCAGCCCUCUGGUGAUGCUCUCUAUUUGUCUGUGGUUUGUCAGGAGCAUGCUCUUCAGCAGGGAGACUCCACUAUUGAUGAGUUCUACACUCAGAGUCUGCUAUCUGGCGCCAGCUUGA
rnacentral:rRNA from 1 species